AGUGAACGCUGGCGGUAGGCCUAACACAUGCAAGUCGAACGGCAGCACAGUAAGAGCUUGCUCUUACGGGUGGCGAGUGGCGGACGGGUGAGGAAUACAUCGGAAUCUACUUUUUCGUGGGGGAUAACGUAGGGAAACUUACGCUAAUACCGCAUACGACCUACGGGUGAAAGCAGGGGAUCUUCGGACCUUGUGCGAUUGAAUGAGCCGAUGUCGGAUUAGCUAGUUGGCGGGGUAAAGGCCCACCAAGGCGACGAUCCGUAGCUGGUCUGAGAGGAUGAUCAGCCACACUGGAACUGAGACACUGUCCAGACUCCUACGGGAGGCAGCAGUGGGGAAUAUUGGACAAUGGGCGCAAGCCUGAUCCAGCCAUACCGCGUGGGUGAAGAAGGCCUUCGGGUUGUAAAGCCCUUUUGUUGGGAAAGAAAAGCAGCAGGUUAAUACCCCGCUGUUCUGACGGUACCCAAAGAAUAAGCACCGGCUAACUUCGUG
rnacentral:rRNA from 1 species